rnacentral:lncRNA from 1 species
UGCCAAAUUAAGCUUCCUUUCUUUUAACAAUCUUAUAUUUAGAUUUGUUUUUAUCGGUUUUGGUUUGUUAUUUUCGUAUCUUAGUGAAAUUGACCUUACAUGUUUUGAAUUCAUGGGCACAGAAAUAACAAACAAAUAAAAAACAAAUGAAAAAAAAAAAAAACACGUACCAAUUAGAGGUGAACAAGAACAAUCAUGAGUAUCUAUCUGUACAAAUCUGCAUUUGAUCAAUAACAAUAAUAUUAAUACACAUGUU